UUUUAAUGAUGAUUGUAUUGUGAACAAUCUCUUAACAAAUCGUGUCGAACAAAAACAACGAGCUUUUUAAUACUGAAACAAU